rnacentral:rRNA from 1 species
CGGGUGAGUAACACGUGGAUAACCUACCUAUAAGACUGGGAUAACUUCGGGAAACCGGAGCUAAUACCGGAUAAUAUUUUGAACCGCAUGGUUCAAAAGUGAAAGACGGUCUUGCUGUCACUUAUAGAUGGAUCCGCGCUGCAUUAGCUAGUUGGUAAGGUAACGGCUUACCAAGGCAACGAUGCAUAGCCGACCUGAGAGGGUGAUCGGCCACACUGGAACUGAGACACGGUCCAGACUCCUACGGGAGGCAGCAGUAGGGAAUCUUCCGCAAUGGGCGAAAGCCUGACGGAGCAACGCCGCGUGAGUGAUGAAGGUCUUCGGAUCGUAAAACUCUGUUAUUAGGGAAGAACAUAUGUGUAAGUAACUGUGCACAUCUUGACGGUACCUAAUCAGAAAGCCACGGCUAACUACGUGCCAGCAGCCGCGGUAAUACGUAGGUGGCAAGCGUUAUCCGGAAUUAUUGGGCGUAAAGCGCGCGUAGGCGGUUUUUUAAGUCUGAUGUGAAAGCCCACGGCUCAACCGUGGAGGGUCAUUGGAAACUGGAAAACUUGAGUGCAGAAGAGGAAAGUGGAAUUCCAUGUGUAGCGGUGAAAUGCGCAGAGAUAUGGAGGAACACCAGUGGCGAAGGCGACUUUCUGGUCUGUAACUGACGCUGAUGUGCGAAAGCGUGGGGAUCAAACAGGAUUAGAUACCCUGGUAGUCCACGCCGUAAACGAUGAGUGCUAAGUGUUAGGGGGUUUCCGCCCCUUAGUGCUGCAGCUAACGCAUUAAGCACUCCGCCUGGGGAGUACGACCGCAAGGUUGAAACUCAAAGGAAUUGACGGGGACCCGCACAAGCGGUGGAGCAUGUGGUUUAAUUCGAAGCAACGCGAAGAACCUUACCAAAUCUUGACAUCCUUUGACAACUCUAGAGAUAGAGCCUUCCCCUUCGGGGGACAAAGUGACAGGUGGUGCAUGGUUGUCGUCAGCUCGUGUCGUGAGAUGUUGGGUUAAGUCCCGCAACGAGCGCAACCCUUAAGCUUAGUUGCCAUCAUUAAGUUGGGCACUCUAAGUUGACUGCCGGUGACAAACCGGAGGAAGGUGGGGAUGACGUCAAAUCAUCAUGCCCCUUAUGAUUUGGGCUACACACGUGCUACAAUGGACAAUACAAAGGGCAGCGAAACCGCGAGGUCAAGCAAAUCCCAUAAAGUUGUUCUCAGUUCGGAUUGUAGUCUGCAACUCGACUACAUGAAGCUGGAAUCGCUAGUAAUCGUAGAUCAGCAUGCUACGGUGAAUACGUUCCCGGGUCUUGUACACACCGCCCGUCACACCACGAGAGUUUGUAACACCCGAAGCCGGUGGAGUAACCUUUUAGGAGCUAGCCGUCGAAGGUGGGACAAAUGAUUGGGGUGAAGUCGUAACAAGGUAGCCGUAUCGGAAGGUGCGGCUGGAUCACCUCCUUUCUAAGGA